rnacentral:tRNA from 1 species
UUAAUUGAAACCAAAAAGAGGGUAUACCACUGUUAAUGGUAUUAUUGAAUCAAUAAUUCCAAUUAAA